AUUGAACGCUGGCGGCAGGCCUAACACAUGCAAGUCGAGCGAGCGGCGGACGGGUGAGUAAUGUAUGGGAAUCUGCCUGAUAGAGGGGGAUAACUACUGGAAACGGUGGCUAAUACCGCAUACUAUCGGAUGUACCCAUAUGGGAUUAGCUAGUCGGUGGGGUAAAGGCUCACCUAGGCGGCGAUCCCUAGCUGGUCUGAGAGGAUGACCAGCCACACUGGGACGGAGACACGGCCCAGACUCCUACGGGAGGCAGCAGUGGGGAAUAGUGCACAAUGGGCGCAAGCCUGAUGCAGCCAUGCCGCGUGUAUGAAGAAGGCCUUAGGGUUGUAAAGUACUUUCAGCGGGGAGGCGUUACCCGCAGAAGAAGCACCGGCUAACGCCGUGCCAGCAGCCGCGGUAAUUC
rnacentral:rRNA from 1 species